rnacentral:rRNA from 1 species
GACGAACGCUGGCGGCGUGGAUUAGGCAUGCAAGUCGAACGGUAUCAUCCUUUCGGGGGUGAGAGAGUGGCGAACUGGUGAGUAACACGUAGGUUAUCUACCCUCAAGACGGGGACAACCCAGGGAAACUUGGGCUAAUACCGGAUGUGAGCAACUUUUAGUUGUUUGAAAGGUGGCGUAAGCUGUCGCUUGGGGAUGAGCCUGCGUCCUAUUAGUUAGUUGGUGAGGUAACGGCUCACCUAGGCAAUGAUAGGUAGGCGGCCUUAACGGGUGGUCGCCCACACUGGGAUUGAGAUACGGCCCAGACUCCUACGGGAGGCAGCAGUCGAGAAUAGUCUACAAUGGUCGGAAGACUGAUAGUGCGACGCCGCGUGAACGAUGAAUCCCUUCGGGGUGUAAAGUUCUUUUAUAUGUGAGCAGUGCUUCUUAUAUUAACAGUAUGGGGAAGAGAUAUUAGCAUAUGAAAUAAGCAAACGGCUAAACUCCGUGCCAGCAGCCGCGGUAA